rnacentral:tRNA from 1 species
GGCUUCGUGGUCGUGCGGUAAGAAUACUUGCCUCUCACCCUGGAGUUCCGGGUUCGAUUCCCGGUCGAGGAACUA